rnacentral:misc_RNA from 1 species
GAUGAAGAACGUAGCGAAAUGCGAUAAGUAAUGUGAAUUGCAGAAUUCAGUGAAUCAUCGAAUCUUUGAACGCACAUUGCGCCCGCCAGCACUCUGGCGGGCAUGCCUGUUCGAGCGUCAUUUCGACCAUCAGGCCCUCCGGGCUUGUGUUGGGGCUCCCUGCGGCUGUCCGCAGGCCCUGAAAACCAGUGGCGAGCUUGCAAAGUCACACCGAGCGCAGUAGAUUUUUUUCAUCUCGCUCAGGGCGUGCGUGCGGGCGCCGGCCGUAAAAGACGAGAGCGCGGCCUCGGCCGCCCACAAAUACCACAAGGUUGACCUCGGAUCAGGUAGGAAUACCCGCUGAACUUAAGCUUAUCAAUAAGCGGAGGA